CGAGAUUGUGGCGUCACUUCCUGGUGCCAUUGGUUGCUAGGGACGCUUCGGGCUACCAAGACAAGGAGGCCUCAGGCUGACUUAUGGGUGUGUCUGUUGGCAUCAGAUGAAAAUGGAAAAACCAGCCUGCAGAAAGACAGAUGAUUAAACAACAACAACAACAAAAACUAGAGUGAAGGGAUUGUUACUGUAGGGGUCGUCACCAUUGAAAAGAUCCACAGCGAUAAGCAUGCCUUGACACGCACAAAGGCAGUGAAGAUCGGUCACCCAGAGCGCCAGCUCAGAUGCCACCAGAUGCUGUGUCUCAUGUGGCCAGAACUGAAGUCAUCCACCCCUCGGGAAGCUGCAGAACACCAGGAGAGAACUGGCAUGGGAAGCACUGCUUCAGACGAGACUCCCAGGCAUCGGUGACCGCCGUUAGACACAGAUUCCCUGCAUCAAAAUGGCCACAACACUAGUUCCAUGCCAGACCUAGUUUCAUGGCCCUGUAAUCCCAGCUAUUCAGGAGGCUGAGGCAGGAGGACUACAAGUUGGAGCCCAGCCUGAACAGCAUGGCGAGACUGUGU